rnacentral:rRNA from 1 species
GGGUUGUGAGGUUAAGCGACUAAGCGUACACGGUGGAUGCCCUGGCAGUCAGAGGCGAUGAAGGACGUGCUAAUCUGCGAAAAGCGUCGGUAAGGUGAUAUGAACCGUUACAGCCGGCGAUGUCCGAAUGGGGAAACCCAGUGCAAUUCGUUGCACUAUCGUUAACUGAAUACAUAGGUUAACGAGGCGAACCGGGGGAACUGAAACAUCUAAGUACCCCGAGGAAAAGAAAUCAACCGAGAUUCCCCCAGUAGCGGCGAGCGAACGGGGAGCAGCCCAGAGUCUGAAUCAGCUUGUGUGUUAGUGGAACGGUCUGGAAAGUCCGACGGUACAGGGUGAUAGUCCCGUACACCAAAAUGCACAGGCUGUGAACUCGAAGAGUAGGGCGGGACACGUGGUAUCCUGUCUGAAUAUGGGGGGACCAUCCUCCAAGGCUAAAUACUCCUGACUGACCGAUAGUGAACCAGUACCGUGAGGGAAAGGCGAAAAGAACCCCGGCGAGGGGAGUGAAAAAGAACCUGAAACCGUGUACGUACAAGCAGUGGGAGCACCUUCGGGUGUGACUGCGUACCUUUUGUAUAAUGGGUCAGCGACUUAUAUUCUGUAGCAAGGUUAACCGUAUAGGGGAGCCGCAGGGAAACCGAGUCUUAACUGGGCGUUAAGUUGCAGGGUAUAGACCCGAAACCCGGUGAUCUAGCCAUGGGCAGGUUGAAGGUUGGGUAACACUAACUGGAGGACCGAACCGACUAAUGUUGAAAAAUUAGCGGAUGACUUGUGGCUGGGGGUGAAAGGCCAAUCAAACCGGGAGAUAGCUGGUUCUCCCCGAAAGCUAUUUAGGUAGCGCCUCGUGAACUCAUCUUCGGGGGUAGAGCACUGUUUCGGCUAGGGGGUCAUCCCGACUUACCAACCCGAUGCAAACUACGAAUACCGAAGAAUGUUAUCACGGGAGACACACGGCGGGUGCUAACGUCCGUCGUGAAGAGGGAAACAACCCAGACCGCCAGCUAAGGUCCCAAAGUCAUGGUUAAGUGGGAAACGAUGUGGGAAGGCACAGACAGCCAGGAUGUUGGCUUAGAAGCAGCCAUCAUUUAAAGAAAGCGUAAUAGCUCACUGGUCGAGUCGGCCUGCGCGGAAGAUGUAACGGGGCUAAACCAUGCACCGAAGCUGCGGCAGCGACACUAUGUGUUGUUGGGUAGGGGAGCGUUCUGUAAGCCUGCGAAGGUGUGCUGUGAGGCAUGCUGGAGGUAUCAGAAGUGCGAAUGCUGACAUAAGUAACGAUAAAGCGGGUGAAAAGCCCGCUCGCCGGAAGACCAAGGGUUCCUGUCCAACGUUAAUCGGGGCAGGGUGAGUCGACCCCUAAGGCGAGGCCGAAAGGCGUAGUCGAUGGGAAACAGGUUAAUAUUCCUGUACUUGGUGUUACUGCGAAGGGGGGACGGAGAAGGCUAUGUUAGCCGGGCGACGGUUGUCCCGGUUUAAGCAUGUAGGCUGGUUGUCCAGGCAAAUCCGGAUAAUCAAGGCUGAGGUGUGAUGACGAGGCACUACGGUGCUGAAGUAACAAAUGCCCUGCUUCCAGGAAAAGCCUCUAAGCAUCAGGUAACAUUAAAUCGUACCCCAAACCGACACAGGUGGUCAGGUAGAGAAUACCAAGGCGCUUGAGAGAACUCGGGUGAAGGAACUAGGCAAAAUGGUGCCGUAACUUCGGGAGAAGGCACGCUGGUGUGUAGGUGAAGUCCCUGCGGAUGGAGCUGAGACCAGUCGAAGAUACCAGCUGGCUGCAACUGUUUAUUAAAAACACAGCACUGUGCAAACACGAAAGUGGACGUAUACGGUGUGACGCCUGCCCGGUGCCGGAAGGUUAAUUGAUGGGGUUAUCCGUAAGGAGAAGCUCUUGAUCGAAGCCCCGGUAAACGGCGGCCGUAACUAUAACGGUCCUAAGGUAGCGAAAUUCCUUGUCGGGUAAGUUCCGACCUGCACGAAUGGCGUAAUGAUGGCCAGGCUGUCUCCACCCGAGACUCAGUGAAAUUGAACUCGCUGUGAAGAUGCAGUGUACCCGCGGCAAGACGGAAAGACCCCGUGAACCUUUACUAUAGCUUGACACUGAACAUUGAGCCUUGAUGUGUAGGAUAGGUGGGAGGCUUUGAAGCGUGGACGCCAGUCUGCGUGGAGCCAACCUUGAAAUACCACCCUUUAAUGUUUGAUGUUCUAACGUUGGCCCCUUAUCGGGGUUGCGGACAGUGUCUGGUGGGUAGUUUGACUGGGGCGGUCUCCUCCCAAAGCGUAACGGAGGAGCACGAAGGUUAGCUAAUCCUGGUCGGACAUCAGGAGGUUAGUGCAAUGGCAUAAGCUAGCUUGACUGCGAGCGUGACGGCGCGAGCAGGUGCGAAAGCAGGUCAUAGUGAUCCGGUGGUUCUGAAUGGAAGGGCCAUCGCUCAACGGAUAAAAGGUACUCCGGGGAUAACAGGCUGAUACCGCCCAAGAGUUCAUAUCGACGGCGGUGUUUGGCACCUCGAUGUCGGCUCAUCACAUCCUGGGGCUGAAGUAGGUCCCAAGGGUAUGGCUGUUCGCCAUUUAAAGUGGUACGCGAGCUGGGUUUAGAACGUCGUGAGACAGUUCGGUCCCUAUCUGCCGUGGGCGCUGGAGAAUUGAGGGGGCUGCUCCUAGUACGAGAGGACCGGAGUGGACGCAUCACUGGUGUUCGGGUUGUCAUGCCAAUGGCACUGCCCGGUAGCUAAAUGCGGAAGAGAUAAGUGCUGAAAGCAUCUAAGCACGAAACUUGCCCCGAGAUGAGUUCUCCCUGAGACUUUAAGUCUCCUGAAGGAACGUUGAAGACGACGACGUUGAUAGGCCGGGUGUGUAAGCGCAGCGAUGCGUUGAGCUAACCGGUACUAAUGAACCGUGAGGCUUAACCUUACAACGCCGAAG